rnacentral:tRNA from 2 species
GCCGGUGUAGCUCAGCUGGUAGAGCAGCUGACUUGUAAUCAGCAGGUCGGAGGUUCGAAUCCCCUCGCCGGCUCCA